CAUGACCUGAGCUGAAGUAGGACGCCCAACCGACGGAGCCACCCAGGCGCCCCAUGGCAAUCUUAAGUGUUCAUGAUGAGGAAUGUAGAUUCACAAGGCUUCGGUCAUUCCUGAGUGUGCUUUUAAACUUAGGCCAAGAAAAAAUAACUUAAUCGUACAUGGUGGAACCAUAAUGUGCCACUAAUAACAGGAGAAAACAAGACAAUUUGCUCUUGAAAAACACCAAAGAUAAUUUCAGAAUUUUGACUCUGGAUGCUGAAAGAAAUCAUCUGCUCCUUCUUCUGUUGGCUGCCCAUGAUUAACUCCAGAACUUGCUCUGUUGCCACUUCAACAGCCACUGAAAAACAAAGACUAUGCCAGCCUUACUGUCUUUUAGAAUUUCACAGCAUUUAAUUUUGAUGGAACGUUCUACUUUUAGAGUAUAGUUGUAGACAACAAAGGUAGCGGGUAUUCAGCUAGUUUUGAUUUUCUUGGCGUAACAACCAAUUCAAUUUAUGAGAAGAACACAAUUGUUCGACAAAUACGUUUCCUUGUUGCGAUUGGUGGUAGGCUGGAGUUGUGAAGCCAAUGAGCAUAUUCAUUCAUUUCCUAAUUGUUUUCACCAAAGAGCACUGCCAGUGAUUAUCUCAGAUCUUCUGUUCGCAGAGUUACUAAUCAGUUACUUCAGGUUUUGUCCUUCAGACCAAUCUGCUUUCUUCCAAAAACUUAAGGGUUAGGCUCAAAUCAAAUCACUUUCCAAAGUAGUAGCCACACUAUUUUUCACUGGUCUUGGUAAAUUCCUUUCCUCCCCACUCCACCCUAAGAAAGCCUAAAAGUAAUUCAUAUUUUCUGGUUGUGUGGAUAGUUUGACAAAUUAUUUUCAGGAGUAAGAGGGAUAGAGUGUGACCCAAGAAAGCCUGCUAAUUUUAUGGACUGCAUUACGACUGAAGUCUACCAGUACUUUCUUCCCAGAAUAUUAGAACUACCUUGUGGCUGGAUCAUUCUGGAUGAUCAAGGGACAGAAGCUAAAAUCAGUGCUUUGUGAGUGUAAACACAGACUUAAACAAAAUCUAUAAAAGGAAAUGUUGACCUUUGGUAAGAAUGGAAAUAACUCCAACUGAAUGAUUCUUAUUUAUAGGCUGCUACAUAAAUAUUUGGCAUAGCAGGAUUGGCACAGUCACCCCAAGGAUUCAUGAGACUCUUCUUUCUGAAUGGAUAUAUCUUCUUAGCUAUUAGCCCUUCCUUCCUUACUGCCUAGCUACAAGAGGGAGGAAAGCCGUAAGUGCUGACAGGGCACAAAAAGGACCAGCUAAAAAUAAAGUUUCUUGAAAUGCACAGAAGCAUGUGAUGCCCAGAAUUUCAGGCUAGAUAUAAUACUGAAUGAAUUGGGUUCUCAUGAAGAAGCCUUCUUAUAAAAAUAUAUGUGACAACUUCACAUGCAGCUAAUGAAAGAAGAAUGAGAAAGGCUAAGAAGAAAGAAUGUCGUUUGUCAGGCAGCCAGCCAUCACUGCAGUGAGCCUCUUAUAGCAGCCAGGUGAUGCAGCAAUAAUUAACGCCGCCAACUUUAUUGGGCAGAACUGGUUAUCCUUAUGCUGGAGGGGUGUGAGGCAUAUGGGAGGAAAAGACAGGGAAAAUAGUUACUUUUUGUUUCCCUCGCAGUUAAUUAAAUUAAAUUGAAAAAUAAAUUAAAACACAUCAAUGCUUGAAUUCUGUCUUUCUGUCCUCCUGAACACGAAUAGAAAGCUCUGCUCUGACUUUCCUGUAACAUGCAAAGAGAGUACAUUGUUUUUAUACAUAAUACAGAAAGAAAUGAGUCUUAAAGUCCAAAUAUUAUCAACGUAAAUGUGUUACGUUUACAGUUAAGGUAGGUUCUUACUUUAAUCUAUCUAUGAAAUAUUUUAAAAAGUGGUGGGUUUUUUUUUUGGUGAAUUAUAGAUAUGUAGUUGGACUGAUUAGUUUAUAAGUCUGCAUAUAUGAUUUCAAAGAAAUUGUGCUUACCUAGUUGUUGGGGAAAUAAACACUCUACAAUAAGAAGUGCUCAGCUCAGCAUGAAGCAUGGGAGUGCAUGAGCACAGUAUGGAUGAAGUGUGAGGAGAUAGAAUCUCACUUCAGGAACUAGGGAACCAGUUAUAAUGGAAAGGUACCGGAAGUGUGAGAGGGGGACCUGCCAGAGCACCCCCCAUCCCAGGGCAGGGGGUAUUUUUUGUGCAUAAGCCCAGGCCAAAACUGAGCUUGAGAGAUUGGCUUUGCCAAUUACCCUGUCUCAAUGCAGUCCCUAAGCUAUGCUUCCAAUUAUACAGCUUAAGAAACUUCCUUAUUUCUUUUAACAGAAGAAGCACAGAUAUCAGCAGAGAAAAUUCCAGUACUAACAUUCUUGUUAUUUCAAGCAACAUUUCCAUUUGAUGCUGGAUGUCUUCUGCUAAUGAGCACCAGACUUAAUAAUUUACAAAGAAAAGCAGGUCAAAUGUGAAAUUGUUAGUGUGAUAUGGCUGCUGGUUUCAUUUAUUUUGUAAAUGGACUAUUUCUAGGUUUUAAAUUAUUUGGUCUAACUAACGCCCCCUUUUAUUUACAAACAUGCACACCAGAAUCUAGGGGGAACAAAAAAGCAUCUCUGAAAAAGUAAACUUAAGCUUAGAAUAAUCUUGUUACACUAACCUAGAAAGUUAAAACCACACAAAACUAGAUAGAUCUACAUCAUAGGAUACUACGCUGCUCGUAAGAACAAAGUCAUACAUAAUAUUCAGGGAUAUUUGGAAAUGGCAUUGUGUUAAAUGGAAAGUAGUGCACAGAGAAGGAGCCAAACUGUGUUUAAAAAAUAAAAAGUAAGCAGAAAAAAGAUUGGAAGAACAUACACUAAAAUAUUAAGAAGAGUUCUCAUGGGAAAGAGA